GCGGUAUGAUGACCGUGCGAAGGUAGCAUAAUCAUUAGUCUUUUNAAUUAAAGGCUUGCAUGAAUGGUCGAACGAGAGAUAUACUGUCUUUAUCACAUUAAUUGAACUUAACUUUUAAGUGAAAAGGCUUAAAUAAUUUAGAGGGACGAUAAGACCCUAUAAAGUUUUACAUUAAACUUGUUAGGAAGGGGAUUGAUAGAGAAGUUAUUCCUAGCGGCUAGNAUGUUUUGUUGGGGCGACAAGAAUAUAAGUGCUAUAACUGUUCUUUUNNGAUAACAAAUAUAUUUGUUUUUGGGAUCCUUAAUUUUGGGUGUUAGAUUAAAUUACUUUAGGGNAUAACAGCNGUUAUUUUUUUUGANGAGUUCUAAUCGACAAAAAAGUUUGCNGACCUCGAUGUNGAAUUAAAGGNUUUU
rnacentral:rRNA from 1 species